CAAGGCCGGCGGCUGGAAGUCACCAUAGAGCGGGAACGCGUCGUCCUUGGGCUCGGUGUCGGACGGACAAUGAGAAACCAAUGAAAAACCAAUGAAGGAUGCUGAGCAUGAGUGUGCAGGACAUUGUUUUGGAAGAUACAUGUGCAAGAUAAAUUGAAGAAGAGAAGUGCCAACAGAACAAUUUGAGAACAAGCUUCAAACAUGCUGUGCCAUUACCCACAAAUUCUCCCAAGAACAAGGACUCUUGUAUAUUUCCCAAGAAUGAGGACUCUCUCCAAUGUUACCAUCAUACAAUUAUUCAAAAAAGGAAACAACUAUCAAUGCAACAGUACUAUCUAAUCCACAGACCCCACUGUAAUUUUGCUCCCUGUAUCAACAGUCUUUUUUCUUUCUGGUCCAGGAUCUAUUCCAGGAUAAAACUUUGCAUUUCCUUUAUUUUGUUUCAAUCUGAAACAAUUCUUUAGCCUUUCCAUAAUAUGAGUUUGAUAGGUUAUUUUCUAAUUCAACCUAUUGUUUAUAUUUCUGCCUAUUCUUUCACAUAGAAUAAUUAGUUUUCAUUUACUGAUAGAAUAACCUUUCACCUUCUUAACUCUCUUCUCCAGGCUAAAUAUUAUUAAUUAUUUUAAUUGUAUCAAAUAUAUUAUAGUUUCUAGUUUGGUUCUCUAUCUUUCAAAAUAUAAUACCGGUUCAAAAAUACUCUGGACUAGGCUUCUAAUUGUAAUAAGCAAAGCCGAUUUUGUACAUCAGACACAGAUUCGCAACUGAAACUUUGGAAACUGUUUGGCAUAAGAGACUAAACACGAUUAUAGGAGGAUUGCUGGCACAGAAUGUUGCCUGUUUUUGAAAAGUAGUUGGUUUUGUCAUUUUUAGUUCUGUCUUAGACACAUCAAGAAAAAGUAUUCAAAAUAGUUGCAUUAGGGUGAUGGGAUAUCAAGGACUCCUUUCAAUGUUCAUU